AUGGGCAAUAUUGUUUCACUCAAACAACUCUAUAGUAGCUUAUUCUUCCAUUUCCAUCUUUUCCCCAAAGAAAUUGGUAGUUUGGUAUCUCAAACUUAUGUUUAUAGCUGUUCUAUAUAUCGGUUGGCUUUUCUUUCUAUUUGUUUAAUUUUGGUGUUUGAAAUAAAUACAGAUCUCGUUUUUUUUUUAAUUGACAAUGAUUGAUUAUAUCCUCAUUAAAGUGCUUGUCCAUUUUUCACAUAUUGUCUUCAGCUAUCAACUAAUAAAUCUUACUGCAUCCCUUAGUUUGUUAGAGUGCUGAUUAGCUAAUCUAGACAUUUGAUUAUAUGUAUUGUUCGUGAAAAUAGAAUGGCUUCACUGCUAAGGUCAAUGUACUUUUGGCAUUGUUUUUUAGUAGUGUUGUUGAGGUAUUGGAUUUAAAAUGCUUGGCAUGAAAUUGUUGGCAUAUAAUGUUACAGGAGAAUUUAAUCUUGGAGUAGAG
rnacentral:misc_RNA from 1 species